GACGAACGCUGGCGGCGUGCUUAACACAUGCAAGUCGAACGGAAAGGCCCUGCUUUUGUGGGGUGCUCGAGUGGCGAACGGGUGAGUAACACGCGAGUAUCCUGCCCUUGACUUUGGGAUAACUUCAGGAAACUGGGGCUCAUACCGGAUAGGAGAUCCUGCUGCAUGGUGGGGGUUGGAAAGUUUCGGCGGUUGGGGAUGGACUCGCGGCUUAUCAGCUUGUUGGUGGGGUAGUGGCUUACCAAGGCUUUGACGGGUAGCCGGCCUGAGAGGGUGACCGGCCACAUUGGGACUGAGAUACGGCCCAGACUCCUACGGGAGGCAGCAGGGGGGAAUAUUGCACAAUGGGCGGAAGCCUGAUGCAGCAACGCCGCGUGCGGGAUGACGGCCUUCGGGUUGUAAACCGCUUUCGCCUGUGACGAAGCGUGAGUGACGGUAAUGGGUAAAGAAGCACCGGCUAACUACGUG
rnacentral:rRNA from 1 species